UGGGGAAUUUUGGACAAUGGGCGCAAGCCUGAUCCAGCCAUGCCGCGUGUGUGAAGAAGGCCUUCGGGUUGUAAAGCACUUUAAGUGGGGAGAAAGGCUCGGCAGCUAAUAUCUGCCGGGAUUGAUGCUACCCACAGAAUAAGCACCGGCUAACUCUGUGCCAGCAGCCGCGGUAAUACAGAGGGUGCAAGCGUUAAUCGGAAUUACUGGGCGUAAAGCGCGCGUAGGCGGCUGAUUAAGUCGGAUGUGAAAUCCCCGGGCUCAACCUGGGAACUGCAUUCGAUACUGAUCGGCUAGAGUAUGAGAGAGGGAGGUAGAAUUCCACGUGUAGCGGUGAAAUGCGUAGAUAUGUGGAGGAAUACCGGUGGCGAAGGCGGCCUCCUGGCUUAAUACUGACGCUGAGGUGCGAAAGCGUGGGGAGCAAA
rnacentral:rRNA from 1 species